rnacentral:lncRNA from 1 species
CUCUUCCGGACAAGGUUCAAUCAAUUCAUCUUCAUUUGCUUCGUCGGAAAUGGCAACACGUAAGUUGGCCUCAAGUUUUUGAUAAGCUUCUUCUUGUAUAACCAUCCACAAUGGUUCACGCCUCUUCAAUCUCUUUGCACUACAUGGUUCAUGUCUCUUUGCCACUGAAACUUUCAGCUUUUGUGAAGUUGUUUUUGAGCCAGCUGAGUAUGCACAUCUAUGAGGUUUAGGACUGUCCAAAACAUCCAAUAAUGCCCGGUCAUGGUUUGAAAUCUCCAAGUCUACUGCUGCAUCGCUUGAAUUGACUGCAUUGUGAUGUUGUUUAAGUUGUCCUGCAUUUGGAUGCAACAGUGCAUCACCUUGUGUGCCUGUAGGCUGGUGUUGCUGCGCAGGAGAUUGACCAACAGCAGAAGCAUCUUCUUGACGAUGCUGUUGCUGCCCAGAUUUACAUGUACUGACUUUUUGUACGCUGGUAGUAACAAUUGCCCGAUAACUGUCCGCUGAAUCGGCGUGAUUAUCUUUCUCCAUUUCAAACUGAUCUGCCCAGCUUUUGGAUACUACAGAAGAUUUCAUGGAAACAUCCUGUAGAAAAUGUGCUGGGUGCACUGAGUCUUCUGAAAGAGUAACUGUAUCGUUGGAGGGAAUGUGUUUGUCUGCCUGCUGCAGCUUACUCUUUUUUUGGAGUUAGUUUUUUGUCUGCUUGCUGCAGCUUCCUAUCUUCAGUGUCAAUGUUUGUUUUUUUCAGUUGUACUUCCUUGUUGGCAGCAGUAGCUUUAAAAGCUACUUGAACCUGUUCCUUUGCCUGUUCAAAUACAGAUUCAGUUAUCCGAAUAUUCCCCUGCCCCUCUGAGUGUGCAAAUUCUGUAGUUGUGUGCAAUGGAACGGUAGCUGCACUUGUAUCCUUGGAAGCUUCAGUAGGUGAGUUCAACUGAGUUGUAGCAGCUUUGCCAUCGAAAUCACAUGCAGUUUUUCCUUUGGGAAGUAUCUGCCCAGCUUGCACAGCAUUAGCUACAAGGGCUGCUCGUUUUUCAGCGAAAUCAACAAGUGCAGCAGUAUUUUUAUCAACUCCAGCACCCUGACUUUCCCCCUCUUUAGCCACAACAACUUUA